CAUUGAUCCAUUAACCUAUUAUAUUCGCUAUGUUUAUAUUAACUGUGAGAUUAAAGGUUGCAUCACUUUACGCUCUCAAAAACGUAGCUUUAAACUGCAAACAUUAUUUGACUAGUUUUAAAGAGUUUGACUUUUAAGUCAAUGUAAUGAAAGAAAAGAAGAAAACAAUGUUUUCCCUGCAUCAACAGAGUUAGUUGAAGAGUUUAUCGUAAGCAAGUAAAGAAAGUUGAAAGGCGUAUAGCAACUUUUGAUGCUAACAUUGUGCUCAUGAA